rnacentral:rRNA from 1 species
ACGGGAGGCAGCAGUGGGGAAUAUUGCACAAUGGGCGCAAGCCUGAUGCAGCGAUGCCGCGUGAGUGAAGAAGGUUUUCGGAUUGUAAACCUCCGUCAUCGGGGACGAUAAUGACUGUACCCGAGAAGUAAGCUCCGGCUAACUACGUGCCAGCAGCCGCGGUAAUACGUAGGGAGCGCGCGUUAUCCGGAAUUACUGGGUGUAAAGGGAGUGUAGGCGGGACUGUAAGUCAGAUGUGAAAUAUACCGGCUCAACUGGUAGACUGCAUUUGAAACUGCGGUUCUGAAGUGAAGUAGAGGUAAGCGGAAUUCCUAGUGUAGCGGUGAAAUGCGUAGAUAUUAGGAGGAACAUCAGUGGCGAAGGCGGCUUACUGGGCUUUAACUGACGCUGAGGCUCGAAAGCGUGGGGAGCAAACAGGAUUAGAUACCCUGGUA